AGAGUUUGAUCAUGGCUCAGAACGAACGCUGGCGGCAUGCCUAACACAUGCAAGUCGAACGGGAUCCUAGCUUGCUAGGUGAGAGUGGCGGACGGGUGAGUAACACGUGGGAAUCUGCCUUUUGGUUCGGGAUAACCGCGGGAAACUGCGGCUAAUACCGAAUGCCCUCGUGAGAGGAAAGAUUUAUCGCCAGAAGAGGAACCCGCGUCCGAUUAGGUAGUUGGUGGGGUAAAGGCCUACCAAGCCGACGAUCGGUAGCUGGUCUGAGAGGAUGAUCAGCCACACUGGGACUGAGAUACGGCCCAGACUCCUACGGGAGGCAGCAGUGGGGAAUAUUGGACAAUGGGGGCAACCCUGAUCCAGCAAUGCCGCGUGAGUGAUGAAGGCCUUAGGGUUGUAAAGCUCUUUUGCCAGGGAAGAUGAUGACUGUACCUGGAGAAUAAGCCCCGGCUAACUUCGUG
rnacentral:rRNA from 1 species